UUUUCGGUCGCACCUGAACUCAACACCCGCGGGCCCAGCGGGAGGGCUGGGACCGCGCGCCCUCGCCUCCGGGCCAGACCCCCGCGAGGCGCUGCAGUAAUGAGGGCUGAGUGCGGGGCGGGGCGCCGCCGGGGGAGGCGGCGAGGGUGACGACCUGUGGCAGGCACCCCUCUCUCCUACUGGUCGCGGCCAGUGGCCGACUCUCCCGUCCUCCCCCUGCCUCGGCCUAGACCCCUAAGCAGGCAGGGAGCCCGCCUGCCAGCUGGAGGGGCGGGGGUCCCAUCGCUGCUGUGGAGUCCAAAGUGUGAGCCUUAUCUCUCAGAGGGCCGGCUGGCCUGCCUGGUGGAAGCAACGCCAGAGGCAGAUGCUACCGGUAUCAUCCCACUUAGCUGGUGCAAGACUGAAUCUCAGAGGUAAAAUAGCUUCACCAAGGUCACAAAGCCAGGAUGUGGAAGAGCUGGCUCAAUUCCUGUAUCUAACAAGGCUUUAGAGAGGACAUUUGGUCCAGCCGCCAACUGCCAAACAGGAGACCACUGCUGUCUCUCUCCUUCUUGGCUUGCGUUCUUUGCUGCAUCAAGCUGUGUUGUUGGAGGAACAGUGCGAGGCCUCUGGCCAGUAGUCAACAAGGAACUGAGAGCCUCCGUCUAGCAUCUGGUGAAGACCUGAACCCAUCAAAGCCCGUGUUAAGGAGGAACCCAAAUGGAAUUAAGGAAUGGAAAAUAAAAAUUGGUUUCUUAUGCCUCUGCACUUCACCUUUCUCCUGUUCAUCCCACUCUGCCAUUAUUGCCUGCUUGCCUGCACGACAGUGCAGUCUGAGCACGGACCACACCUCCCAUGCAGCGGUGGCUUUGUGAUCUGUCCACCUGGGGAGAAGAACAGCAGGUGCGUGAGGAGACAUGCUCUGAGGACUAGCAGCGCCAGCACUGCUGCCCAUGUGCCCUGAACCUUAAUGGCUAAGAGAGUCGACUCUGAAGAAACCCAGGGGAAACCUCAGAUACUCCACUCAGGAGGUGAGAGGCUUUGAUCAGAACGGCGGCCUCUCUGUCUCUCCAUUCCCUAGUGGUAAAAUGGAAAUACUAAGGGCACGAGGACAAAGUGAGCUGACAAAUGCACAGACUGCGGCAGUAUCUGGGCAGAGCAUGGGCUGAAUCAGUGUGAAUUCCUCAGUCCCCCUCCUGGGACGACGUCCCGCCACUCACCAUGACCACGGCAAUGCCGAUGCCCACUGCGCCGAUGAUGUGGAAUUUAUUGUCGAAGACCUCUUUGAUGGCAUCAGGACAGGACUUGGGGAGACAAACCAAGACCUGGGUCACACACAAUCCUUGCUCCCGGGGCACCUCCUUCCUCCCAUGGCACCCGUCUCACCCGGGAGAACUGGUGGGCAGAGGGUGGGCUGGGGACAGGGGUGUUCAGGGAUAAGAGAAGUUCUGGCUGGUGGAUGGAAAGGGGAGCAAAGGGAUGGCUAUGCUAAUGGAUGCUAAACAUUUGGGCAGGACAUCAGGGAAGGAGGAGGGACAGGCCCUGCUUGGGGGCCUAUUUCUGAUACGGUUGUAAGGUCACUUUUUACUACUCUGGAGCUGGACAUUAACUCCAGCUUACAGACAGGAGGCACUGACAAAGUCAGAGCGGGAGUCCAAGACUCAGAAGCAUGCCUGCCCUCGACAGCUUCCAGGCUGGCAGCAGUGGGCGGUGCCAGAGCACUUGUCGUUCCCCUGGUCUGGCCUUUGUUUUAUUUUAUUUUUUAUUUUUUAUUUUUUUUUUUUGAGACGGAGUCUCGCUCUGUAGCCCAGGCUGGAGUGCAGUGGCCGGAUCGCAGCUCACUGCAAGCUCCG